UAUUUGUAGUUAUACUCCUUUUCAUUUCUAAUGUUGCUUAUUUUUAUUCCCCUUCUUUUUCCUUAACUAAUCUUAAUAGAGCUUUGCUAAUUGUAUCUUUUCAAAAUUGUUGAUACUAUCAAUACCCUGACUUCUAGUUCAUUUCUGCUCUUUACUUAAUUUUCCUCAAGUUAUUUGGGUUUACUUUGUUCUUUUGUAUUUAAGGCUAUAAAGAUCCCUUCAGGUUAGCUUUUGCACCCUCUACAGACUUGUUAUGUAGAAGUCAUCAUGUAUUUCUAAUUCCCAUUACUAUUUCUUUUGUGACUUACUUUAAAAGCAUAUUUUUAUCUUCAAAAGUAUUGAAACUGGGUUAUCUUUUUUGUCCAGUGGCUUCUGACGAGGCCAGAGAAUAUGAUCUCUAGGACAUCUCUGGCAUGUAAUAUCUGUUGAAAAACCCAGUAUACGGUCAACUUUAAUAAAUACCCAUAUAUACUAAAAAAAUCUAUAUCUCUUCCUGACUGAUAGAUACAUAAGAUCAACCUUGUAUCUGUUUUGUUCAAAUUUUCCCUAUCCUUACUAAUUCUGAGCUUACCUGAUCUACCAGUUUCUGAGAGAAGAGUAUUAAAAGUUCUCCCAUGAUUGUGAAUUUGUUUUCCCUUUUCUGCCAAUUU